UUACGAAAAACCUUUUGAAACUCUUAAAAACAACUCGGUUACGUUUCGGUACAACUGACCGAUACAAACUGUAAAUACGUAGUUUAUUAUGGAAUCGGCGCACGUUCUACAUUCGGUUUUACAGAUAUAAUCCAGAGUAAGUACCUAUAAUAAUACUUUACUCUUUGGUUUUGCUUGCUGAUCGCCGCGUACAAACCGCGUUCUAAUAUUAUCAUUAUAUUAUACUCGCCCCGAACCGCGGAUGGAAAUAAAAUUGAAUUAUCCAUUGUAUGGUAAAUAAUUUAUAUACAUAUACCAAUUGUAAUGAACGGACUCGGUAAUAAUAAAAUACAGCGCGUUUCAAAAG